UCACAAAACAAACAAUUAUUUCAAAGAGUUCAAAAAUUGUUAAAAAUAUAGAAUUCUACUUAGGGAUAAGCAAAACAAACAAAGGUAACAAAUACAAAAAAAGUCACAUUCUAACAAAGCAUUUAGAAAAAUCCGAUAUAAAAACGUAGCUUUGUUAUUAUAUAAACAUGUUUAACUAACUGUAACAUUACAACACGUGCAGAUAUUUAAAGCACAUGUGGAAUUGUGGAAAUGUGUUUAUUGUCGCAUGUGUCGCGAUUUUAAAAAAGGAACAGAUGACGGGAGCUAGCAGCAAACAAAACGAUCAAAAUAAAUAGGCGGUUUGCCACAAGGGAUUUACUCAUAUCUGGCGAUGUUCUAAUGUUUGCAAAGGGUGUGUGGAACUGGAAACGGUAAACGAGAUAGUGAGAUUACAACGAUUUGAUUUGGGAUGAUCAGUGGCGGAUAAAGAAAAACUAUGGCGUAAUGCCGUGGCCUCUAAAGAAGGUAGAUGUAGAAAUGGACACUAUUUAGUAAAAUAUUUAUAAAUAAUUUUUAAAUAGAAUUUUAAUAAUUGAUGAUUGUAAUUUAUGUAAACAUAAAAUAAGCAUUCAAUAAAGUAUUUAUUGGUUUAAAUGUGA
rnacentral:lncRNA from 1 species